GGCUUGGCCUCACGUCCUGAGGCUGAACAGGGACCUUCUGGCCGCUGUCCUGAGCUCCUGGGACCUGGCCCCAGGGUGUGUUGCAGCUGGACAGGAUGGAUGGCUCUGCCUGAGGUGCCUUCGGCGAUGCCCAGUGGGAGCCGCAAGUCCUACCUCUGCUGGGUGAGCUCAGUGGGACAUUUCAUGAUUGCACAGCUGGAUCAGAGUCCCGUGUCGGUCCUCUGGGUGCUGGUGGACCCACAGUGAUUGCAACUGGAUUAAGAACAUGGACUUACUCCCUGAGCCCCAGGAGCAUCUCCGUGGGUGUGUGCCUGCUGGGGCUUGGCACAAAUAAAGUGUUUUUACUU